AACGAACGCUGGCGGCAUGCCUAACACAUGCAAGUCGAACGAGACCUUCGGGUCUAGUGGCGCACGGGUGCGUAACGCGUGGGAACCUGCCCUUAGGUUCGGAAUAACUCUCCGAAAGGGGUGCUAAUACCGGAUAAUGUCUUCGGACCAAAGAUUUAUCGCCUUUGGAUGGGCCCGCGUUGGAUUAGCUAGUUGGUAGUGUAAAAGCCUACCAAGGCGACGAUCCAUAGCUGGUCUGAGAGAAAGAUCAGCCACACUGGGACUGAGACACGGCCCAGACUCCUACGGGAGGCAGCAGUGGGGAAUAUUGGACAAUGGGCGAAAGCCUGAUGCAGCUAGGCCGCGUGAGUGAUGAAGGCCUUAGGGUUGUAAAGCUCUUUUACCCGGGAUGAUAAUGACAGUACCGGGAGAAUAAGCUCCGGCUAACUCCGUG
rnacentral:rRNA from 1 species